rnacentral:tRNA from 1 species
GUAGUGGUGAACGGUCGCAAACCCUCGAACCGCCUUCGGAUGGCGGAGGUCACGAGUUCGAGUCUCGUCGGGUCCA